UAGCAAUACGGUGGAAAAUCUAGUGGCGAACGGGUGCUUAACACGUGGGCAACCUGCCGAGAAGUGGGGGACAGCUCGCCGAAAGGCGGAUUAAUACCGCAUGUGAUUAGAGAGGACAUCCUUUCGAAAUUAAAGUCGGGGCAACCUGACGCUUCUUGUGGGGCCCGCGGCCUAUCAGCUAGUUGGUGAGGUAACGGCCCACCAAGGCUUUGACGGGUAGCUGGUCUGAGAGGACGACCAGCCACACUGGGACUGAGACACGGCCCAGACACCUACGGGUGGCAGCAGUCGAGAAUUUUUCUCAAUGGGGGAGACCCUGAAGGAGCGACGCCGCGUGGAGGAUGAAGGUCUUCGGAUUGUAAACUCCUGUCAUUGGGGGGCAAUGCGUAAAUAUUAACUGUAUUUGCGUUGAUAGUACCCGAAGAGGAAGAGACGGCUAACUCUGUGCCAGCAGCCGCGGUAAUACAGAGGUCUCAAGCGUUGUUCGGAUUCAUUGGGCGUAAAGGGUGCGUAGGCGGCGCGGUAAGUCGGGUGUGAAAUCUCGGAGCUUAACUUCGAAACUGCAUUCGAUACUGCCGUGCUUGAGGACUGGAGAGGAGACUGGAAUUCUCGGUGUAGCA
rnacentral:rRNA from 1 species